GACCAGUGGCCAGGACUGACGCCGGUCGUGUGCGUGGGCUCUGCUCAGCUGACGGGACUGUGCACGGGUCCGGGUCCGGAUGGACGCGCAGGCUGUGGUUUCACUGACCGAUAACUUGCUUACCCAUUGUACUUUGUGCUCACAGUCCCAAUUACUUGCAUUUAACCAGGCGUGCCCGUGAAAUGCAAAUUGGACGCGAAUCAGCGUAGAUAUCCCUGCGUGAGCCCGAGGAUCGAGCAGUGGGGUAAUUCCCAGAACUGGGGACUGACCGCUGAUCCCUACCACGAGAAGCACCGACCUCGAAGGGGCUGAGGGGGGUUCGAAGCCCACCUCCUGCCUACCCCAGCCCCCUUCUGUCAGCAUGCAGGGUCACCGCCAGGUCCGGUUUGCCCAUUGGGGAGGUAUUUUGCAGAGUUUGGGAUGUUAAUAUGUGGAGAUAAGGGGGAAGCAGUGUGUUACAGUUCCAUCAAGAGCAGUGCCAGGGAGAUGUCUAAUCUUACAAUCCUCUUACGUCCUUGGGAAAAAAAUGUUACCGUCUCUGUCUCCCUCUAUUUAAUUUAGUGGCCUUCGGGAACAAUUGCUCAGUCAUAGAAAGAUGAGUUUCAGAGACUGGAGCCCUGAUGCCACAAGCUUUCUUGCUUUUCCAAGCACUGGAGUCUGACAUAGAUGCGACGGAAUGGAGAAGGGGGCAGGAUUGGGGCAUUCCUGUGUCGGAAAAUACAGCUAUUGAGCAUUUGGGCAGUUGCUCUCCCACUUCCACAACUCAUGAGCCACUUCACCAGGAUGUGUGUCACGGGAGGCAGUGACUGGCCAAGGAGUCCAUGAAAGCUAGGAAACCAGGCCCUUCUGACCAGCAGUGAAAGACUGAAGAGUAAAAGCACAUUAAUAUCCCGGGGCACCUACAUGGAGACAAGUGGCUCAGUUUUCCUGCCUCGGUGCCCUUUUCCGAGACUCCUGGUGGGGAGAAUCCAUCCCAUGGAUGCUCCUGGCAGAACCAUUUGUUUCCUGUACAGGCAUAGCCCAUCAAAUCAGCACUGUCUGUUUGCUACAGAAAACGGGGCCCGGGGUCCAGAGCAAGUGCUGCAGCCCUGAAAAAGAGCAAGCUAUCUGAAAGUAAAAGACAUCAUUAAAUUUCCUUUCCACAGGGUGAAUGAAGAAGCUUUUACCUGGGGAAGAAAGGAAAAGUGUGCUUUUUGUUAGCUUCAUCCAGAGAGAAAGAAAAUCUUUGACGUAUUUUCUGGCAUGUGACUCCUGUUAGGCUUCAGCCUAAACAGCCUGUUUUCAAAAGCACUGGAAUGUAGUUUCAGCAAUAAUUGGUCAACAGAAAUGGAGGCAGUGAGGGUAUUCUGUUGUACAGAAGUCCUGGGUGAAAACCCAUACAUUGUGGCUAAGAAGUCAAAGAAAACAGAUUUAACAGAUGAAUGUUAAUCUUGGGACCUGAACUCCUGGAAUCUGGCUCUUCCCUGAAAGAUGGAAAACUGGAGCCAUUGCUGCAUGGGGGAUGGUGCUUUUCCACUCCAAUUUCAGACAAUUGACUUAAACUCAUCUGCUGAACCUUUUGCCCUGCUGACGAAAAAAUUUAAUUUCCCACCAUUUUUUAAAUUUAUUGCUCAGAAUACAUAAGUACUAGAGAUACAGCUUUUGGUGUAAACCAGCAUAAUCCUUUCACCACUGAAAUGUUCUGUUAUAUAGUAUUUUGACCUCUCUAUGUGUGUGUGAAAUUGCUGUCUAAAAUGCAUCACUUUUAAAAUUUAUAUUUUCCUGUUUCAGGACAAAUUUGUUAAAAAAUUCUAAAAGAAAAUUACGCAAAAUAAAGCAUCUGCUCUUUAUUGUCCUGUGUGGAAAACACUUGAGUUCUGCAUAGUUUCAAAGCACUUUUGAAGGAACUGAAAUUGUUCAGUGUCAUACUACAAUAGUGUAAUUUUUAUAGGCUAGUUGAAUUAUUUUCACGAGACAAAGAAAUCCCUUACACUGACAGUGCUAUAUAUUUGCAAAGGAACGAGUAAUGUGCUUGCAUUGUACUGAGAUCAUGAAAGCACGCUGCUCUGAAUAAGCUGAGUUUGGUCCAGGCCAAUACAAUAAUGACUGAUGUUUUGAUAACACUUCAGCGGCAUUGAACAAGGGUUGAUGUCUCUGCCACAACAAUGGGUAGUCGUUGAAGAUCUCAGCAGUGAAGCCAAAAAAAAAAAAAAAGGCAACAGUUUUGGAAGUGUUCUGCUUUUCCCAAACUCUCACUGAGUUAAACUAAGGGUGAAGAUUGGUAAGUAUUUAUGUAGCUGGAGGUACAUCCUCUCUUCAAAGUCUGCUCUCAAGACUGCUGAGAAGAUUCCCAUUGCCUUUCAGUCUUCGGACCAGUCCGUAUA